GGGGUUGUGGCUCAGUGGUAGAGCGCUUGCUUAGCAUGCAUGAAGCACUGGGUUUGGUUACCACCAGCACCA
rnacentral:tRNA from 1 species